GUGACUAUUUAUCUGCGAAGCUAGAAGGACAUAGCCUCGAUUUAAGACUUGAUGGUGAGAACAAAUAUUUCAUUUAGUUAUUUUUAUUCUAUUAUAUUUAAUUUAUGAGAUUAAAUAUUAUCUUUAAUGAUUUUAUUAUUAUUAUUUAAUCUAAAAAAUUAAAUAUCAUCUUUAAUAAAAAAAUAUUAAAUAUUUAAGGCUUUUUGGUAAGAAUACAUAUUUCCUUUAGUUAUUUCUAUUUUAUUCUAUUUAAUUUAAGAGAUUAAAUAUCAUCUUUAAUUCUUACAUUUUUCUUAUUUAAUCUAAAAAAUUAAAUAUUAUCUUUAACAAUAUUUUUUAUUAAAUAUUUAGAGUUUGCUUGGUUUUAUUUCUUUUCUUGAUUUUAUAAUAAUAUUUUUCUUAUUUAAUAUAAAAAAUAAAUAUUAUCUUUAACAAUUAGAUCUAUCGAAUAUCACUUAAAAAUAAAUUAUAACUUUAAUAAUUAUUUUUUGAAAAACAAAAGGCCAACAAUCACUAACAUAUUUUAUUAAAAUCACUUUAGUUUAUAUAGAAAAUAUUGAAAACUGAUUUUUGUUUUUUUACAUUAAAAUAAAAAAUUGAAUAAUGUUUUUAUAUUUUAUUUCAAACUCGAUAUUUUAAAACAAAAAUGAAAAAGAUGUGAUAUUAACAUUUUUUAUUAUAAAGUAAGUUUUUUAAUUAAAAGUGAUGGGAAUUUGUUUUUAUUGCAUGUACAAUCAUGCACAUUUAACUUUCUUUUUAAAUUUGAUGGUUUUUUAGGACGGAAAUGGCUUGAAGUUGCUCCAAAUCAGUACGAUACUUUCAUCUGACAUGUUGAUAUGUAUUUGUUGGCUUGAAGAUUAUUUUCCAAGCUUGGAAGUUUUAUUGAAUUCUCUUUGAAAUCUUUUCCAUCCGCUGGACAACUUAUAUUAUUAUGCAUGAUGUAAUUUAUAUUUUCAAGUUACAAAUUUUGAUGAAUAUUGUUUCAUUUUUUUCCUCAUUUCAAAAGAUGAAAAUCCUUGAUCUUAGUUAGAAAUAAAUUGGUUUUCUAGGAAGAGAUUAUUGAUUGGAAUAUAGUAUUUGAAUUGGUUCUUCAUCAUUUACUGUUAUAUAUAAUUUAAAAUAAUUGAUGAAAAUACAUAGAAAAGUUUUGAGAGCAUCCUUAAUUAGUCUAGUAAGUAAAGUGUUGUUAGUUUUGACUAUAAGAUCUUGCUAUGUAUUAUUGCAUGGUUUUUACUAUUUUUUUGCAUUUCUUCUUUUUGUAUAUACAACUUUUGUUUUUCUUGCCGCUUGUCAUUAGCUUUAUGGCACCAACACCAAUUAAUAAUAAAUCUUGAACUAUUAUUAAAUAAAGAAAAAAUAUAAAUAUCGUUAAAAUACCAAACUUGAAUUGCUCAAUCCUAAAGAAACCCUAUGACAAUAAUCUAAUUUAGAAAAUAAUUAAUUUAUCCUUGUAGUCUAAGAAAAUAGUAUUUAAUUCUUAUGUUUUCAUAUACAUCUAUGAUUUAAUAUGUUGAUUGAAAUU